rnacentral:rRNA from 1 species
UACGAAGGGGGCUAGCGUUGCUCGGAAUCACUGGGCGUAAAGCGCACGUAGGCGGAUUGCUAAGUCAGGGGUGAAAUCCUGGAGCUCAACUCCAGAACUGCCUUUGAUACUGGCGACCUUGAGUCCGGGAGAGGUGAGUGGAACUGCGAGUGUAGAGGUGAAAUUCGUAGAUAUUCGCAAGAACACCAGUGGCGAAGGCGGCUCACUGGCCCGGUACUGACGCUGAGACGCGAAAAGCGUGGGGAGCAAACAGG